rnacentral:misc_RNA from 1 species
GCAAACUUGGUCAUUUAGAGGAAGUAAAAGUCGUAACAAGGUUUCCGUAGGUGAACCUGCGGAAGGAUCAUUAACAAAUCUCAAUUUACAACAACCAUGUGUCAAUGUCUUCUUUCCCUUGGUGAGAGAGAGGUGUGAUGAUGGAUGAUAUAAUAAUAAUUAAUCAUCAUUGUAUAUUAUCUCUUUCUCUUCUUCCACCAAGGGAAACAAUUGCUCAUCUCGAUAAAAUUGACUAUCAUUAGAACAUAAAACAUUAAUAAUGAUAAUUAUAAACAACUUUUAACAAUGGAUCUCUUGGCUCUUGCAUCGAUGAAGAACGCAGC